ensembl:lncRNA
CUGGCCCUCAGCCCCUGCGGCCAAACCCAGGGGCCUGACGCUGUGGCUUGUUCCACAUUUUUAAAUACUCGCUUGCUGGCUGGAGGUGUGACUGUACCACAAUACACUGUUUCUUUGUGAUGGUUUUAGGUUUGCUACAGCUAUUGCUGUUCGUUGCCAAACACCGUCAGGAAAAAGCAUAAAGCAGGUAGAAUUCCCUUCAGAUAACGGUGGUUCCCACACCCGACCACCAGAAAGCCAUCGCAGAUUCACCUGGAUGUCUGAUUUCCACAGAACCCUACAGCCAUGCAACCUGUUGGUGCCACCCGUGGAAACAAAGCCGAGCCCAGCAGAACUGCCACAACUGAUGCACGAACUGGCCUCCCCAUGAGGAGAAAAGGUGCACGCAGAUGCCACCAGCGGUGCCACCGCAGCUCGGGAACGCCACUUGUCGAGAUCCAGGGGCACUUCCAGGCCGCCGGCCCCUGCGGCGUUGCAGGGGGGCGGGCGGGCAGCGGCGCGGCCGGUGUCGGGAGCCCGGCACGCCCGGGCGGCGGCACGUCCUCAGUGCCCCGUACCCGCCUGAGCUUUGCUGGCCACCAAGGCUUAUCUUCUGGCCUUGCCGUUGCUUUCCUUCUCCCUCACUGUGUUAGCUCGCCUCAGAGAGGAAGGGCCGGAUUCAGGCGCCUCGGAAGAGCAAGGCCAGCGCUUUCCUCUGGGGGAGGGCGGCUAGUGCCACCGCCCGCUGCCGGGAGGCAGCCGCUCGGGCAUUCCUCCCCGGAGACACGCCAACAAGCAGCGCUGCUAAAAUUAACGCUUUACGGACACCCGGGUUUAAUACAAGCUUGGGAAAUGGAAGCGGGGCUGUGGGGGUUGGUUUUUAUUCCGCCUCAGCGCGCAGCGAGCGACCCCGCUCCCGAAGGCCCGCGGCCGCUGCCGCCCGAGGCGGGACCCAGCAGCGGGCGGCUCCUUCCCGCACCCCGCCGCCGGGCCGGUGCCAGGGGCCGUCCCUCGCUCCCCGCGGCGCCGCCCUCCCGCCGCUCCCCCGCACCCCGUGACGGUCCCGCCCCGCCCGGCGGCAGCGGCGGGGAGCGUGGGGCUCCGCUCGGCGCGGAGCGGCCAUGGGCUCGGCGGCGGAGCUGCUGCCGCCGCUCGGCGAAUCCGAGCGGGAAGCGGGGGCGGCGGCCGCCCGGCACCGGCGGCGCCCUGAGGAGCAGGUCCAGCAAGCACAAAGAAACCACACAGCAGAACCUGUAAUAGAUGACUACAAAAAGAUGGGGACUCUCUUUGGUGAACUAAACAAAAGCCUUAUCAGAAUAGGCUUCACAAGGAUGUACUUUGGAGAACGGAUAGUAGAACCCGUAAUAAUUAUAUUCUUCUGGGUUAUGCUCUGGUUUCUUGGCCUACAAGCUCUUGGACUGGUUGCUGUUCUGUGCCUUGUCAUUAUUUAUGUACAACAGUAAAAUUUUAUAGAUGCUGUUUAGAUUAUCUAUCUCAACUCUGUCACUAUGUCAGUGGAUUUAUGUUUAAGUAAAUGGGUGGCAUAUCAAAAGCUGCGAUGCUUCAAAUUGCAUUUCACUGAACUUCCAAAAUUUGGGGUGAGGGGGACUAAAAUUAUGCAUUGUAAGCAAAGUCAGCAGUGCCCUACUACAUCUUCGAAGGGCAAAAAAGGAGGUGUUUGUAAUAUAAUGGUGUCCAAUAUACUGUUUUCUGCAUUCUUGGGGCCUUAGUCCAAGGACUGGCUUUUUGUUCCUCCCCGCUCCCCCAGCGUUCUUGCUUUGUAUCAUGAAAAUUUCCUGUCUGGUUUCAAGAGGACACUUGAUGUGAGUGUCCUGUUUCACUGUUGGGUGGGGUUUGUGUGCUGUUUGUUCCCUGAAUCUGCAUAAUUUGCUGGCUUCUUGCUGAAAAGCUAAAUCUGCAUGAGAGAGGUUUGCUAACAAACCUACAAUGUUAAAUGUUCGUAAGGUGAAUACAACUUCCCAGCACAAAAGCAUCUUUGAUUAGUACAGUUUUAGCAAGCUUUCCCCUAGGAAACAAGCUAUGCCAGCAAAAUGCUUUUAUACUAAUAUCAGUGAAUUCACACAAGGCUUCAGCUGUUGUUUAGAAGGAAUCACAGUCCUGUACUGGCCAAAUGGUCUAAUGUAACUCUGCCUUGUUUUUGGAAAUGUACUCUCCACUGCUAUUUUUCUUUUUUUUUUUAAUACUUGCUCUUUCCCCCAGCCCUCCUUCUGAAGAUAAAUAUUUGUAUAAUUCAUGGACUUUGUAGGUAGUUACAGCUGCAGUGUUGGAGAGUUGCCAUUCCAGCAAUGCUAGAAUAUUGUCUGCUUCCUCUGGCUUGCGUGUGAAGUGUCUGAACAACCAGAUAGGUAUCAGACCAGCUCUCUUAAGGCUUCCCUAAUUUGCUGCAGUGUGGACCCAACACAAGCUGGAGGCUUUGCGUAUGUAAGCAAAUCAGACCUGUUUCCUCCUGUAAGGCAAGAACGUAGCUGAAAUCCGGUGGUCAUUUUAUUUAGUAGUCUUAACUGAUUCAUUUCCAUGCUAGGCAACAAAAAUGUGUAUGUAUAGGUGCAUGUCAUGGGCAACACAAAUCUGAGAAUAGGAUAUAUCCGUUCAAGAGUAAGUGCAAAAUUCACUUUGGCUCCCCAGGAGCCACACCACGGGUGUAUCAAAUAUUUCCAAGUUGAAAAUGCUCAUUUAAAGAAAAACGGUAAAAUGAGACAUAAUCUUUACUAAAUAGGCUACCAAUUUAAUAUUUGCUGUACAUUACUUUUAGUAAGAAAAUUGCAAAAUUGACUCCAUCUGUGGUAAAAUGAAAUUAUACAUUUACUUAAAGAAAUGUAAUGUAAAGAAAUGACAUUUACAGAAAACUACUUACACAUUUUGCAGUGACUUUUUUCCUAAAAAUUUUUAUACUAGCAGAGACCAGCAGCAGAUUAGUUGAAAAUGCUGUCUUAUCCAGAGACUUUGAAGGGGAGCAUUUCUAUCGUCCCAGUCCUGCAACUGCAUUCUCAAGGCCAAUUUUAUGCCUACACGGAUUGUGUUGGUUGCUGGGCUCUAUUUCCUUACAGACCUGGGCCCCAGUCCUUACAGACUUUCCUAUUAGUGAAAUAAUUGUUAUUUAGGGCAGUGAACAUGAAGGCCCAGCUCCUUUAAAGUCUUUAUGUGCAUAAAUGCCAUCUAUGGACAGGUCUGUGCUUUUCUAAUGAAUGCACAGUUACCUGCUGAGCAGAUCUCCUCUCCAGAUCUUCAUACAACUUUGGUGGAUCCAAGGGGCUCAGCUGAACUGGCAGGGGGGUGGGACUGAGGUCCCCUGUGUGUUUAGAUGGCACCUGUGGUGAUUGGCACCUAGUUAAAUAGUUAACGCUGGUGGCAGGCAAACAUUUGACAACAGAAGGUGAUCCUGGAUGCAGGGGUUUGUUGUUCACAACUGCAAGUCCCAAAGCAAACAGCAAGUACAGGCUGAACUCAAAGAGGCAGGAGCUCUGUACUCCCAAGUGCCUAGGGGUAAACUUUGGUUUUGUUUCAAGUCCCUUAGACAGCAGAACACCUGUUUACACCUUUGCAUAUUUGUAUAGAUAUAACGGUGGGUUUAUGUGUAUUCUUCUCCUGUAUAAGGGCUGUACUACAAAAGCAUCUUGUCAUUAAAAAAAAAAUAAAAAUCCUUCCUUUCUUCCCACAAUCAAAUUACUGUUCAGAGGUCCUCAUCCUUUCAUCCUGUAGGAAAAAGUGUCUCUGUGAUAUCCAUGUUGCAGUAGUACUCUUGUGUAAAGACACUGUGCUGUGAGAUGGCAUGUAGUACUUCCCUGAAGUGGUGAUUUUGCUCUGUGCAUAAGGAAUGAACCGACAGUGUGACCGACAAGUUCAGUGAGGGCACUGUUUAUAUACUUGUAAUCUUUUAGUAUGUGCAUAAUUAUGUUUCAUUCAUGAAGUCAUUUCAGUUGUUCUUUUGAUGUUCAUGUUUGUAUACAUGUACUUUAGGGAAAGGUAGCUUUUGGACUUCUUUUAGAUUGUGUACAGUGAAUGUUUUAUAUGGUUUCUCUUAAGGGUAACUUAUUACGUCUUGUCCUUCAUAGAAGUUUUUUUUAUUUUAAAAAACCUGAAAAAAUAUCCCUGCUAAUGGAGUUAGGUUGACUGAAAGUGAAAAAAGAAAAAUAAUGUGUUGUAUGGAAGAUAACCCUCACCUGUUUGGUUUCAUACAUAGAUAAGAAUUUGCGCCAAAUCAUCUGUCUAAUUUUGUGCUAUUGCUAUAGUAUCUCCCUGUCAUUUGCAGGAAAGGAGAGUUAAGGAAAAAAGGAGGAUAGAAUCAGACAUGGAGAGUGGAAAAUGGAAUGCAGUGAAAUGGUGCAUAUAUGUGUAAAAUCUGAUUGUAAAUGUGUACCAAAAGUGAAGGGGGAGAAUAGGUAAACAGUCCUUGUAUUGUGUUCUUUCUUGCAUCCAGACAUAGUUCUAAGGCAGAAGCACCAAGCAUUCAAAGGGUGUCCCUAGCUAAAAAGCAGAAGGUUAAUUAAAAAAAAAAAAAAGACAAUUUCACUGUUGUCUAUAUGGUAAAAAUUGAUACAUUUUUAGCAAUGUUAUUUAUAUUGGUGUAUAGGAUCGUUAUUCUUGAUAGAACUGAAAGUGCUUUUAUGCUUCUGUGUGUAGGGCUGUAUGAAGGAAUUAUGGCCCUUAAAUCUGUGUUAAAAAACAAAUUACAUAAUUCCUGUUGGUCAGUGUAACAUAUCGAAAGCUUUUUACAUAACCUUUGUUUUUUAAAGGAUGGACUCUUCAGUACGGUUUCACACCCACCAAAUGCACAAAUGUUUGAACUACUGUGUACAGAGAAGAAACUCUACAUGUAGGAGAAUCUUGGAGAAUGCUGUUUGCACUGAAAAAUCAUCACAUCAAACCUGUCCAUAUGAAAAGGAAAAAUAAUAUUUCUUAACAACUCUGUAUUAAAUGAAUCCUAUGGAAAGCACUUUGUUAUUCUUUCUAAUAAAAAGAAUUGCCAUCAAUGAGAACUGUGAAUUCUUUGUGGUCCUUUGUUCAAGGUUACUUGACUCCUUUCAAAAUUUCAUGGCCCAGAUGGAAUGGGGCAUCAUUCAGAUAUCCACUGAGGUCAGUUAACUUGCAGCUAGUCAAAAAACAACUGCAGUACAAGACCUGAAUAAACUGGAUCAGGUCUCUGUGGUUGAGUGUGCAGCAGUUACACUGAAUUAAAGAAAAAGAAAGUAGUAGAUCUAAAUGUUAACAAAUAAUGGCAAGUGUGGUGUAAAGUAGCUUUUAUUUCACAGCUUAUUGAUUUUGUAUCCAGAGCAGCCUCUGAAGGAACCAGAUGUGGUCAGGGGUGUGAAACAUCCUUCAAAGUGACAAUUGCUGUGCUACAGAAAGGUUUGGGAGUUUUUGUUUGGUUUUUAAAUAUUCAUAGAACAUACGGUUCAAGACAAAUCCACUUCAAACUGUUCAUUCUUUUUUUUUCUGCAGGUCAGAAGGGUGUUCGUUCUUCUAGAUCCAACAGACAAAUGUAUCCGUGUUGCUCAGGAUGCACA